rnacentral:rRNA from 1 species
UACGGGGGGGGCAAGCGUUGUCCGGAUUUAUUGGGCGUAAAGAGCUCGUAGGCGGCUCAUUGCGUCAACCGUGAAAACCAGCAGCUCAACUGUUGGCUUGCGGUUGAUACGGGUGGGCUGGAGUUCGGUAGGGGAGACUGGAAUUCCUGGUGUAGCGGUGAAAUGCGCAGAUAUCAGGAGGAACACCGGUGGCGAAGGCGGGUCUCUGGGCCGAUACUGACGCUGAGGAGCGAAAGCGUGGGGAGCGAACAGG